rnacentral:rRNA from 1 species
GGGCGACACACACGCUACAAUGGGCGGUACAACGGGAAGCGAAGGGGCGACCUGGAGCGAAUCCUAUCAAAGCCGUUCGUAGUUCAGAUUGCAGGCUGCAACCCGCCUGCAUGAAGCCGGAGUUGCUAGUAACCGCAGGUCAGCUAUACUGCGGUGAAUACGUUCCCGGGCCUUGUACACACCGCCCGUCACGUCAUGGGAGUUGGUAACACCUGAAGUCGGUGACCUAACCGCAAGGGAGGAGCUGCCUAGGGUGGGGCCGAUGACUGGGACGAAGUCGUAACAAGGUAGCCGU